rnacentral:rRNA from 1 species
UAGGGAAUCUUCCACAAUGGACGCAAGUCUGAUGGAGCAACGCCGCGUGAGUGAAGAAGGUUUUCGGACCGUAAAGCUCUGUUGUUGGUGAAGAAGGAUAGAGGUAGUAACUGGCCUUUAUUUGAGGUAAUCAACCAGAAAGUCACGGCUAACUACGUGCCAGCAGCCGCGGUAAUACGUAGGUGGCAAGCGUUGUCCGGAUUUAUUGGGCGUAAAGCGAGCGAGGCGGAAGAAUAAGUCUGAUGUGAAAGCCCUCGGCUUAACCGAGGAAUUGCAUCGGAAACUGUUUUCUGAGUGCAGAAGAGAGAGUAGAACUCCAUGUGUAGCGGUGGAAUGCGUAGAUAUAUGGAAGAAUACCAGUGGCGAAGGCGGCUCUCUGGUCUGCAACUGACGCUGAGGCUCGAAAGCAUGGGUAGCGAACAGGAUUAGAUACCCUGGUAGUCCAUGCCGUAAACGAUGAGUGCUAAGUGUUGGGAGGCUUCCGCCUCUCAGUGCUGCAGCUAACGCAUUAAGCACUCCGCCUGGGGGAGUACGAC